AGGCCAGGGGGUCUGUGCGGAAGACGAGCCUUUUCAGGGGCUUCGGCCUCCGCACCCGAAGACACGCACACGCACCUAGCUGCACACCGUCCCGCCCUGGUGGUGUCACACACACACGCCUUCCGUCGUGGCUGAGGGAAAGAGGUAGAGGGCAGGAAGAUGCAGGGCUUGCCCCGGGGGAAUCCUUGGCCUGGAUCUUGUUCCCUAAGACCCUGGCUACGUUUCUCAAGCAGCCAUGUGAUUUGUCUGCACUUCUCAGGUGGAAUCUCCGUGCAAAGCUUGCCGUCGACCAGGAAGAGAAGAGCUGCCUGUCCUCCGUUGAGCGGAGAUGCGAGGGAAUCCCGGAAGAGGCGUGGCUUACGGUGCGCGCCGGCCCCGUGGAUCGCUUAGGACGUUCAACAUAGAAUCAGCACUGGUUUUCAUAUGAAAGAAUUUUUUUUUUUCACCUUGACAAGUAAAAUGAUGGAGACUAAUUCUGGCAUCUAAAAUUCACUGUCCAGUGGGAAUUUUCACACUGGUAGCAUGGAUCACGUAUUGGGUUUCGUAUGAAAGAGAUGUGACUGAAUGACAGUAUUGAGAAUAAGUCUGCUUUCUUAUCAUUGAGGUCCAUUCUCAAAUCAGUAAGCAUUUUGUCCUGAAAAU